rnacentral:tRNA from 1 species
GCCACUGAACAGCCUUUUCGGUUUCCUAAACCGUGCGCGCAGGUUCGAAUCCUGCCGGGGGCG